rnacentral:rRNA from 1 species
AUUGAACGAUGGCGGAAGGCCUAACACAUGCAAGUCGAGCGAGCGGCGGACGGGUGAGUAAUGUAUGGGGACUGCCCGAUAGCUGGGGAUAACUACUGGCAAAGGUAGCUAAUACCGAAUACUAUCGGAUAACCCAUAUGGGAUUAGCUAGUUGGUGAGGUAAUGGCUCAGCUAGGCGACGAGCCCUAGCUGGUCUGCGAGGAUGAUCAGCCACACUGGGACUGAGACACGGCCCAGACUCCUACGGAGGCAGCAGUGGGGAAUAUUCCACAAUGGGCGCAAGCCUGAUGCAGCCAUGCCGCGUGUAUGAAGAAGGCCCUAGGGUUGUAAAGUACUUUCAGUCGGGAGGCGUUACCGAACGAAGAAGCACCGGCUAACUCCGUGCCAGCAGCCGCGGUAAUAC